rnacentral:tRNA from 1 species
ACCUGGCUGGCUCAGUUGUAGAGCGUGUGGCUCUUGAACUUGGGGUCAUGAGUUCGAGCCCCGUGUUAGGUA